rnacentral:rRNA from 1 species
UACAGAGGGUGCUAGCGUUGUUCGGAAUCAUUGGGCGUAAAGGGUGUGUAGGUGGCGCCGUAAGUCAGGUGUGAAAUUUCGGAGCUUAACUCCGAAACUGCAUUUGAUACUGCGGUGCUUGAGGACUGGAGAGGAGACUGGAAUUUACGGUGUAGCAGUGAAAUGCGUAGAUAUCGUAAGGAAGACCAGUGGCGAAGGCGGGUCUCUGGGACGGUACUGACGCUGAGACGCGAAAGCGUGGGGAGCGAACAGG